UUACGGCCAUAUCACAUUGAAACACUGGUUCCCGUACGAUCACCGAAGUUAAGCUACGUCGAGCCUGAUCAGUAACUAGAUAGGUGAUCGCUUGGGAAUAUUAGGUGUUGCAGU